rnacentral:rRNA from 1 species
UGCAAGCGUGUACCAAAGUUGUUGCAGUUAAAACGCUCGUAGUCAGAAUUUGGCAGUUCCGGAUGUGUGCACGUCGUGUGCGCACUUCGCGGGGAUUGCUUUUGUGGUCUUGCGUAGGAUGAGGCACUUUUAUUAGUGAACGUCCUCACGCAACCACUUUUUACUGUGAGAAAAUCAGAGUGCUCAAAGCAGGCAUUUGCCGUGAAUGUAUUAGCAUGGAAUAAUAGAAUAGGACUUGGUUCUAUUUUGUUGGUUUGUUGGGACUGAGUAAUGAUUAAGAGGGACAGUUGGGGGCAUUUGUAUUUCGGUGCUAGAGGUGAAAUUCUUAGAUUACCGAAAGACAAACUGCUGCGAAAGCGUCUGCCAAGGAUGUUUUCAUUGA